rnacentral:rRNA from 1 species
GUGGAUCAUCUGCCCUGGAGUGGGGAAUAACGCUGGGAAACCGGCGCUAAUACCGCAUAUUCCCGAGAGGGGAAAGCAGCAAUGCGCUCGAGGAGGAGUCCGCGGCCGAUUAGCUAGUUGGUAGGGUAAAAGCCUACCAAGGCUGUGAUCGGUAGCCGGCCUGAGAGGGCACACGGCCACACUGGCACUGAAACACGGGCCAGACUCCUACGGGAGGCAGCAGUGGGGAAUCUUGCACAAUGGGGGAAACCCUGAUGCAGCGACGCCGCGUGAGCGAUGAAGCCCUUCGGGGUGUAAAGCUCUUUCGGCAGGGAAGAUUAUGACGGUACCUGCAGAAGCAGCUGCGGCUAACUACGUGCCAGCAGCCGCGGUAAUACGUAGGCAGCAAGCGUUGUUCGGAGUUACUGGGCGUAAAGGGUGUGUAGGCGGCCUGUUAAGUUCUGUGUGAAAUCUCCCGGCUCAACCGGGAGGGUGCGCCGAAAACUGGCGGGCUAGAGUGCGGGAUGGGAGAGUAGAAUU